GACGAACGCUGGCGGCGUGCUUAACACAUGCAAGUCGAACGGUAAGGCCCUUCGGGGUACACGAGUGGCGAACGGGUGAGUAACACGUGGGUGAUCUGCCCUGCACUUCGGGAUAAGCCUGGGAAACUGGGUCUAAUACCGGAUAGGACCACUGCCUGCAUGGGUGGUGGUGGAAAGCUUUUGCGGUGUGGGAUGGGCCCGCGGCCUAUCAGCUUGUUGGUGGGGGGGUGGCCUACCAAGGCGACGACGGGUCGCCGGCCUGAGAGGGGGACCGGCACCACUGAGACUGAGAUACGGCCCAGACUCGUACGGGAGGCAGCGGUGGGGAAUAUUGCACAAUGGGCGCAAGCCUGAUGCAGCGACGCCGCGUGAGGGAUGACGGCCUUCGGGUUGUAAACCUCUUUCAGCACCGACGAAGCGCAAGUGACGGUAGGUGCAGAAGAAGGACCGGCCAACUACGUGCCAGCAGCCGCCGUAA
rnacentral:rRNA from 1 species